GCUAUGGUGGUCUAGUGGUUAGUGCAUCCUCCUAGGAUGCGGGAGGUCGUGGGUUCGAUCCCCGUCGAGUCAUACCA